GGCAUCUCACGAAGCAGGAACUGACGCUGAGGCACGAAAGCGUGGGGAUCGAACAGGAUUAGAUACCCUGGUAGUCCACGCAGUAAACGAUGAUGGCUAACCGUCGGCGAUAGACAGCCGGUGGCCAAGCGAAAGCGAUAAGCCAUCCACCUGGGGAGUACGACCGCAAGGUUGAAACUCAAAGGAAUUGACGGGGGCCCGCACAAGCGGAGGAACAUGUGGUUUAAUUCGAUGAUACGCGAGGAACCUUACCCGGGCUCGAACGGUGCAGGAAGGACCCAGAGAUGGGGACGCCCUUCGGGGCCUGUAUCGAGGUGCUGCAUGGUUGUCGUCAGCUCGUGCCGUGAGGUGUCGGCUCAAGUGCCAUAACGAGCGCAACCCUUGCCGUCAGUUACCAGCACGUAGAGGUGGGGACUCUGGCGGGACUGCCACCGCAAGGUGAGAGGAAGGGGGGGAUGACGUCAAAUCAGCACGGCCCUUACGUCCGGGGCGACACACGUGGACCGGUGGUGGGUACAGAGGGGAGCCAUACAGUGAUGUAGCGCAGAUCUCAAAAACCCAUCUCAGUUCGGAUCGGAGUCUCAACCCGACUCCGGAAGC
rnacentral:rRNA from 1 species